rnacentral:misc_RNA from 1 species
GUAAAAUCACUUCCAUAAAAUUAAAACUAAACAUUCCUAGACUUUUUAGUUUUUCUCUUUUGCCUUUUGUAUUCUUCGUAUAGCUGCAAAGACAAAUUGGUGCGGUCCAAUUCAGCCCUCAACCUUUCAUUGUCCUUGAUGUCCCGGAGAAGAAAGAAUCUCGUUGAGAGUUUCUCCUUCACUUCAUUUUCGUCGAUAGUGCCGUACGUAUCCA